GUACUCACUUCGGCAAUGCACGUACUAAAAUGGGAAGGAUACAGAGAUUCGCAUGGCCCCUGCACAAGGAUAACACAUAAAAUGAUGGUUUUUACUAAAGUUGU